UUUAAUUGAAGAGUUUGAUCAUGGCUCAGAUUGAACGCUGGCGGCAGGCCUAACACAUGCAAGUCGAGCGGUAACAGAAAGUAGCUUGCUACUUUGC
rnacentral:rRNA from 1 species